rnacentral:lncRNA from 1 species
UGUAUCUAGGGUUAGGAGAAUGUAUCUAGGGUUAGGAGAAUGUAUCUGGGGUUAGGAGAAUGUAUCUAGGGUUAGGAGAAUGUAUCUAGGGUUAGGGUUAGGAGAAUGUAUCUAGGGUUAGGGUUAGGAGAAUGUAUCUAGGGUUAGGAGAAUGUAUCUAGGGUUAGGAGAAUGUAUCUAGGGUUAGGAGAAUGUAUCUAGGGUUAGGAGAAUGUAUCUGGGGUUAGGAGAAUGUAUCUAGGGUUAGGGUUAGGAGAAUGUAUCUAGGGUUAGGAGAAUGUAUCUGGGGUUAGGAGAAUGUAUCUAGGGUUAGGAGAAUGUAUCUAGGGUUAGGAGAAUGUAUCUAGGGUUAGGAGAAUGUAUCUAGGGUUAGGAGAAUGUAUCUAGGGUUAGGAGAAUGUAUCUAUGGGUUAGGAGAAUGUAUCUAGGGUUAGGAGAAUGUAUCUAGGGUUAGGAGAAUGUAUCUGGGGUUAGGAGAAUGUAUCUAGGGUUAGGGUUAGGAGAAUGUAUCUAGGGUUAGGAGAAUGUAUCUAGGGUUAGGAGAAUGUAUCUGGGGUUAGGAGAAUGUAUCUAGGGUUAGGGUUAGGAGAAUGUAUCUAGGGUUAGGAGAAUGUAUCUAGGGUUAGGAGAAUGUAUCUAGGGUUAGGAGAAUGUAUCUAGGGUUAGGAGAAUGUAUCUAGGGUUAGGAGAAUGUAUCUAGGGUUAGGAGAAUGUAUCUAGGGUUAGGGUUAGGAGAAUGUAUCUAGGGUUAGGAGAAUGUAUCUAGGGUUGGGUAG